CAAUGUUGUGUAAAUGUUAAAAAUCAUUAUACUUUUUUUAAUUGCUCCUGGAUUUGCUUGUAAUUUAAAUCUCUAAAUUUAUUUCUUUUACCCUUCAAAUUGAAAAUAGCUUUCGAUAGCGAUGAUAUUGAGGAAUUGACCGAACCAUCAUAUGAUGAAAUCAAAGAGGACCAAUGGCUGGGCGUUACAGUUCGCAGUCAAGGUUUGGGUGGCAAGGUUUUAGUCUGUGCACAUCGCUACAUAACAAAAGUGCGCGAAAAUCGUUAUGGUCAAGGUCUCUGUUAUGUUUUAACCAAUGAAUUGAGUUACGAUGAAGUUUAUGAACCAUGUAAAGGUCGAACUGUUCAAAGAGCACAUGAGGAUUAUGGCUUUUGUCAGGUGGGCACUUCGGGGGCACUGUUGGACGACAACACUAUGGUAUUAGGUACUCCCGGUCCCUUUACAUGGCGCGGUACUGUUUUCGUUACCGAAAUUGGUG